rnacentral:rRNA from 1 species
CGUGUAGGCGGAUUGAUAAGUUUGAAGUGAAAUCCUAUAGCUUAACUAUAGAACUGCUUUGAAAACUGUUAAUCUAGAAUGUGGGAGAGGUAGAUGGAAUUUCUGGUGUAGGGGUAAAAUCCGUAGAGAUCAGAAGGAAUACCGAUUGCGAAGGCGAUCUACUGGAACAAUAUUGACGCUGAGACGCGAAAGCGUGGGGAGCAAACAGGAUUAGAUACCCUGGUAGUCCACGCCCUAAACGAUGUACACUAGUUGUUGUGAGGCUCGACCUUGCAGUAAUGCAGUUAACACAUUAAGUGUACCGCCUGGGGAGUACGGUCGCAAGAUUAAAACUCAAAGGAAUAGACGGGGACCCGCACAAGCGGUGGAGCAUGUGGUUUAAUUCGACGAUACACGAAGAACCUUACCUGGACUUGACAUAGUAAGAAUGAUUUAGAGAUAGAUUAGUGUCUGCUUGCAGAAACUUGCAUACAGGUGCUGCACGGCUGUCGUCAGCUCGUGUCGUGAGAUGUUGGGUUAAGUCCCGCAACGAGCGCAACCCUCGUCCUUAGUUGCUAACAGUUCGGCUGAGAACUCUAAGGAGACUGCCUACGCAAGUAGGAGGAAGGUGAGGAUGACGUCAAGUCAUCAUGGCCCUUACGUCCAGGGCUACACACGUGCUACAAUGGGGUAUACAAAGAGCAGCAAUACGGUGACGUGGAGCAAAUCUCAAAAAUGCCUCCCAGUUCGGAUUGUAGUCUGCAACUCGACUACAUGAAGUUGGAAUCGCUAGUAAUCGUAGAUCAGCUAUGCUACGGUGAAUACGUUCCCGGGUCUUGUACUCACCGCCCGUCACACCAUGGGAGUUGAACUCAUUCGAAGCGGGGAUGCUAAAGUAGCUACCUUCCACAGUGGAUUCAGCGACUGGGGUGAAGUCGUAACAAGGUAACCGUAGGAGAACCUGCGGUUGGAUCACCUCCUUU